GUGGGGAAUAUUCCGCAAUGGACGAAAGUCUGACGGAGCAACGCCGCGUGAGGGAAGAAGGUCUUCGGAUUGUAAACCUCUGUCCUUGGGGACGAAAAAAAUGACGGUACCCAAGGAGGAAGCUCCGGCUAACUACGUGCCAGCAGCCGCGGUAAUACGUAGGGAGCGAGCGUUGUCCGGAAUUACUGGGCGUAAAGGGUGCGUAGGCGGCAUGGCAAGUCAGAUGUGAAAUCCCCGGGCUUAACUCGGGGGGUGCAUUUGAAACUACCUUGCUUGAGUGCAGGAGAGGAAAGCGGAAUUCCUAGUGUAGCGGUGAAAUGCGUAGAUAUUAGGAAGAACACCAGUGGCGAAGGCGGCUUUCUGGACGGUGUCUGACACUGAGGCGCGAAAGCCAGGGGAGCGAACGGGAUUAGAUACCCUUGUAGUCC
rnacentral:rRNA from 1 species